AUUGAACGCUGGCGGCAUGCCUUACACAUGCAAGUCGAACGGCAGCACGGGAGCAAUCCUGGUGGCGAGUGGCGAACGGGUGAGUAAUAUAUCGGAACGUGCCCAGUCGUGGGGGAUAACGUAGCGAAAGCUACGCUAAUACCGCAUACUAUCUAUGGAUGAAAGCGGGGGAUCGCAAGACCUCGCGCGAUUGGAGCGGCCGAUAUCAGAUUAGGUAGUUGGUGAGGUAAAGGCUCACCAAGCCGACGAUCUGUAGCUGGUCUGAGAGGACGACCAGCCACACUGGGACUGAGACACGGCCCAGACUCCUACGGGAGGCAGCAGUGGGGAAUUUUUGGACAAUGGGCGCAAGCCUGAUCCAGCAAUGCCGCGUGCAGGAUGAAGGCCUCGG
rnacentral:rRNA from 1 species